rnacentral:rRNA from 1 species
UACGAUGGAGUGACAGUGUUGGUUCGAUUACUGGGCGUAAAGCGCACGUAGGCGGAUUGGUCAGUUAGGGGUGAAAUCCUGGAGCUCAACUCCAGAACUGCCUUUAAUACUGCCAGUCUCGAGUCCGGAAGAGGUAAGUGGAACUCCUAGUGUAGAGGUGGAAUUCGUAGAUAUUAGGAAGAACACCAGUGGCGAAGGCGGCUUACUGGUCCGGUACUGACGCUGAGGUGCGAAAGCGUGGGGAGCAAACAGG